UCGGCUUGUUGGCGAGAAAAAGAAACUAUUAAACCGACACGAAUGUCGCGACACCUACAAUAAGAUAUCCGAAACGUACGAUGACCAGCGUUACUAAAAAAAAUGCAUCAGUCACACUUCCAGAGUAUCCAUUUUUACUACCAAAUUUAAAUUGCGAGUUUUUAUGGACCCAUCACAAUUUGUUGCAUAACAAACAAACCGACAGAGCAACCAACAAGUAGCAGACUAGCAGACGUACGGCCAUCAUGCAUUCAACGAAUUCAAAUCCAUCCGGAAGUGCCGAUCUGAAUAAAAUGAUACUCAAUACAAAGGCAAGUGUCCUGGAAAAAGAAGAAAGACUUAGGAAGCUACACAUGGUUGUAGUAUACCGAGAAAAGAACGCCCCACUGGAUAGCCUGAUAACUCGGUGGAGAACAGCAGUGCAAGAGGCGUUGGUCCAACUCCGCGACAGAUUACCCGAACCCAAACCAACCUAUUCGCAGAUCCUGGACGGCUUGCAGAUAUCGCAUUCUACUGUAGGCUACAGUAAAGAUGAUGAUAGUUUUAUCUAGCUUGAGAA